rnacentral:rRNA from 1 species
GGAAUAUUGCACAAUGGGCGCAAGCCUGAUGCAGCAACGCCGCGUGGAGGAAGACGGUUUUCGGAUUGUAAACUCCUGUUCUUAGUGACGAAGAAGUGACGGUAGCUAAGGAGCAAGCCACGGCUAACUACGUGCCAGCAGCCGCGGUAAUACGUAGGUGGCGAGCGUUGUCCGGAUUUACUGGGUGUAAAGGGAGCGCAGGCGGGAAGACAAGUCAGCUGUGAAAUCUAUGGGCUCAACCCAUAAACUGCAGUUGAAACUGUUUUUCUUGAGUGGAGUAGAGGCAAGCGGAAUUCCGAGUGUAGCGGUGAAAUGCGUAGAUAUUCGGAGGAACACCAGUGGCGAAGGCGGCUUGCUGGGCUCUAACUGACGCUGAUUCUCGAAAGUGUGGGGAGCAAACA